rnacentral:sRNA from 2 species
GCUCUGCCGCCGCCCAUUUCCCGUUCACACUGAUGGCAGAGACGGGGGACCCAAUCUUUGCGGGCCUCCACCUUGGAAGUCCUUGGGGUUAAACCAAAGCGCGGGCAUUUUUUUGCCCGGCGCCUGGCCGGAUGCUCUCAUCCGUUCCCGACAGCUCACCUCGCAGGCGUAGAGAGGUCCU